GAUCCGCUGUGACGACUUUGAAAAGAUCAAGCUCAACAGACCGUAUUGCAGGUUUUUACAUGCAUGUCGAUCAUCUUCAUCACCGAGCGAUC
rnacentral:snoRNA from 1 species